UCCUAGCUUUACCACGCGGUGAGCCGAGCCAGGAGCGACGUCCCUCUCUCCCAUCGCCAUAGAAUGAGACGGAACGGUACCUAGCCCAUCGGUCGGUCGUCGUCUCCAAGAGUGAACCUUCGUACGACGAAAUAUGUGACCGCUUUUCCGUUCCCAAAAGCCUCGGCUCGUCUUCCUCCUCCUCACUCGCCGUCAUGUCGUCUUCUGCGAACCCCCAUCUUGUCCGUCUAGGGUUUCAACGAGCCUCGAAACCCUCUUCUCCAGCCGCGACGAGAUCACCGAUCUACUCUGCCGCCGCUUUUCGAUCCGCUUCCCAUGUCAUGUCAUCUAGAUUUGGAGUUGUUAGAUGGAGAUGCGGUCCCAGACAUUAUUUCCUUCCCAUCUCGGCCAUGGAUGAGGAUUCUAUGGGGAUUCCCUCACUUUUCGAAGAGGGUGAUGAUAUUUCUGGAGGAUAUUCGUCUUACAUGUUGUCUUCGAGUGAGGGUGAGGAUAGUGAUAUCGAUCUUCUUCUGAACCCCACGGGGGAUAUUGACUUGCCGACAAGCAGGGAUCAUUUGGAAACACCUGAUGCUGCAAUGACAGUUGCUGCCCACCGGUUUGCUACCAUGCAUAAAGGACGGAGGAAGAAAAGGACUCUGCUAGGAGUCAUGAUUACCAUGGGAUUAAUAGCCUUCUUAAUCUCAUUUCUUUUAUUCAUCGACUGGUGUUCUUGGAAGAUUGUUAGACUUCCUCUGGAAUCCUUUUAUUUCACACACCCUUUUUCAUUAUCAGCAGUGUUAUCUGCAUGCGCUGGAUGUUUAUAUGUUCCUAUAGCUGAGAGCAUGAAGAUUCGUCUGAUCCGUAGGAGAGAAAGGCCUAUGACAUAUUUCCAUAAGAGUGCUACUCCAACAAUGGGUGGCUUGUUUUUUCUUCCAAUAGGCAUUGUUGUUGCAAGAGGCAUUGCCGGUCUCAACUCCACUCCAGUAAAUGGAGUGGUAGUAGCGACUGUUGCAUGUGCAGUAAUUGGGUUGCUUGAUGACACUUUGAGUUGGAUCAAGAAUCCCAAUUAUGGACUGCCACAAUGGCUUCAAUUCUUUUUACAGGUAGCUGUUGGGACAUGGUUUUCAAUUUGGCUGGAUUCAGCAAAUAUAUCAACACCAUACAGCAUGAAAUUGCUGGUUCCUCUUCCUCCGCCACAUGGCCUUGUCUGCAUGGAGAAGUUCUAUAUAGUCUUGACGGCAUGUAGUUUUGUUGCUAUGGGGAGUGGAGUGAAGUCAAUUGAUGGACUUGAUGGCUUGGCCGGAGGGGUUGCUGCCUUGGCAUUUAUAGGGAUGUCUGUUGCUGUUCUCCCAAUUUGUCCAAGUACCGCCACAACUCACCAAAAAAGGAAAACACCUAUACAGAAAGAUGAGUAUAAAUUGCAUAUGCCUUUUUUGGUAUUAAUUUUGACUUAUUUUAUCAUCGGAGUUGCAUCAAAGUUUUAUGCUUGUAUAUAACUUACGUCAAGCCAUUUUUCAAAGUUCAAUUUAUGAUGGCUAUGGGAGACCUUUAUAUGUAUUUAUCAUGUUUGAUGUUAGAAAUGUUAGGUUUGGAGUCAGAAAUGAAUUAAUUAACUUUUCCCGUUGGGACUCCAGGGCUUGCUUAGAUUCUAGUUUUCUUCUCUAUGGCGGGACUCAGUCAAGAUUCUCUUACUCCAUAUAAUUGAUUGAGUUGGAGUUGAGACCCUCGCCUUCUCACUAAUUCCAUUUUCUUGUUUGCUUCCAAUAUAUUAUUUAACAUGUGAUAUCCAAGGAAAGUCUUAUUGUCAUGGGAGGAUGUUUACCUUGUCUACAUUAAAAUUUGAUGUCCAACAAGUUGCAUCUUUGGCAAGGGAGACUCUUUGCUUAUGCUGUCUCAUAGGGUUGACUUAUGGAUAAGUCUUAACAGAGUUGGCACAGCACAUGAAAGAGCCAUAUCAUGAGGUAUUGAUUAGGAAGAAAAGAAGCAAGUAGGUGAUGUAUUCUGGCUUUUACUUUUCUUUUUUUAUGCUUAAGGUUGGUUCUUAUGGUUAAAAGAGAGAGUCAAGUAUGAAAGAGGUGAGUUCCAACUUUAUUUUUUGGAUCACUGGAUGAUUGAUGCAACUUCCAGAUGAGUGAAAAGAGAAGGUCAUGUAUAAAAGGUGAAGCCAAAAACUCUGGGUGUCACUGAAUUUUAGUUUUGAGUCAUGUUUUGCUGUAACUAAUGUUCAUGGGGUUUAGAGGCUAUUGUUUAGGAGUUGUAGGGGUGGAUGCAUCGGUUUUCUUGUUUAGAUGAUGGGAUAUGAAUAUAUGGCUUCUUUUGUAUGGUUCCAUUGAGUUUAAAGUUGUAGGAUCAGAACUUAUGUUAUAUCAGCCUCUUCUUGGGGACUGAGGCUUACUAAAGGACUGACUGUUUGAAAAGGGAGAAUGAUCAAAAGGAUGUUCAUGCUGCUUCAAAUAGUUAUUCUUCAAAUGUAUAACUAUAGCUAUAUCAUCAUCAUCACCAUUCAUGUUCUAUUCUAUGAGCUGCAUGGUUGAAUAAGUUUUGCAUUGGACCUAUCACAAUAUUUAUUUAAUGCCUGUUGUGGUUGAGAAAACACUCAUUUAUGUUGCAAGAGGGUGACCACAACACUAAAUAUCCUAGUAAACCCAAACAUGAGAAAAAAUAGCAGAAAUGGAUCAAAUCCCAUCAAUUAAUGACCAGCCAAGCGGCAAGCAUGACAUGGCUACAAUAGUGAUGUGGGAGAUAACACUAUAAAAAGGUGAAGGACUGAGAUUAAUAGUUACCACUUAAAGCUUGUUUGCAGAGAUUUUUGAGGGAAUGGACUCUUUGUGAAGGGGGUGAUUUUUCUAUAGUAAAUGAUCCAAGAUCAACUACCGUAGAUUAGAUUAUAUUGAAGUUCUUACUGCUUCAACAAUAAAGUAUGCAUGCAAAUAAUGAGUUACACACACACACACACACACACACACAGAGCAAAGAAAAUGUCUCCUGUUAUGAUAGACAUGCUGUGAAGAAUAUAAUGCCCCUACAUAAUGCUGCUUCCUUGAGAUUUAGAAACUGCUAUCUGAAUUUUUUUUUUCAUGCAUGAAUGCUUGUUCAAUAACCUGUUGGUCCAUGAUCUUGUAUGAUGAUUUUCUAUGCUUUAAUUUGACCUUCAUGAAUAAGUCCUCAGAGCCUAAGGAAUGAUAUACUGUCUGAGGGUUGUUUAUUUGUUUUUUUUUAUUAAUUUUUUUUAACUUUAAAAAAGAAAAAUCUUCUUUGAAUUUGAACAAAAGCCAAUUUCCAUGCAUGGUCACAUGUAUAAGUACAAAGAUUAGUAUGGAGUUUACAGAUUUUCUCAUGUUGCAGUAGAAGAAUUUUAUCUGGUAUUACAGAGUAAGUUGUCAAAUCUGAUAUUUGAAAGCCAUGGUUUGUGGUUGUCGUUACCGCCUCCAGCAUUAUCUAAUAUUAUCAUUUAUCCUUGUGUAUGCUAUAGAUAAGAAUUUGGACUUUUUUAAACUAUGUUCUAGGAUCUGAUUGUUCGGCUUUUUUCCCCUUCCUAAUUGGAACAGAACUGUCCAUUUUUGGAGUGUCAAUGGCAGGAGCCUGCAUUGGCUUUCUUUUCCACAACAGGUAUAAGGCUACCGUAUAUAUGGGUAGAAUUGGAUCCUUGGCUCUUGGUGGAGCACUUGCUGCAAUUGCUGCUUGCACAGGAAUGUUUUUCCCUUUGCUUAUAUCAUCUGGUGUUUUCAUCCUGGAAUUGUUGUCAGUCAUCGUGCAGGUUUUAUUCAUGAUGGCAACAAGGCACAUGUACGGAACAACUAGACGUUUUUUCAGGAUGGCAUCCUUGCAUCACUGCUUGAAAUUAUUUGGUCUAAAGGAACCACUCAUUGUUGCAAGCGCAUACAUCAUAUCGUCCAUCUUGGCUUUGUUCGCUGGAUAUGUUGGUCUAAUUUCAGCUUGAGUUGCAAAGCUUCUUUAUCUACUUGUUCUUGUGUCGUUCCUUACCAUCAGAAUCUCAUGAUUUCAGCAGAGUGCAUUCGACACAUGGCUUUUUGUUUACUGCACCAUCAUCACUCAUUGGUCAUGUUAUAAUUUGUGACUCUUGCUGUAUUCAUGCUUCUAUACAUGCCUUCGCAGUGAAGAAGCUUGACACCUGGAGUAUUAUUGAAAGGCAAACUUCCUGGUAUUGUUACGGGAUGCUGGAGGUUGUGAAUUGUGGCUUUUGAAGCUUCUGGCUAUUGGGUUGUGAUAGCAUAUUUUUGAAAGAACUGUGAUAGCAUAUUGUAUAAAUUCUGGUACGCAGUGUAUUUCUAAUCAAUCAUCAGAUGCACCUUAUCCAUCACAGACUCAGAUUUGGGCCAUGAUUUGUUUUCCAUGUUGAACCUCUUUCCUUUCAAGAGCAGUUCUUUAUCUCAA